CCAUCGUCCCACUCUAUUAAGCAUUUGUGUGUCCUUGAUUUGGAUACUGCAUGUAACUGUGGGCCCUGUAAUACAAGAAGGCUGUGGGGAACUUGAAUGUGUCCAGAUGAGAGCUGCAAAGCUGAUAACAGGGCUGAAAGUCUUGUCCUGCGUAGAGAGGCUGCGGGUGCUUGGGCUGACCAGUCUGGAGAAUAGAAGGCUGAUAGGCAACUUCAUUGCUCUCUUCAACUUCCUGAGAAGGGGAAGAGAAGAUCUUGUCACAGAGCUGCUAUAUAGAAGAAAAUCAAGUCAAGAAGCACAACCAAGGAACAAAUUUCUGGGGGAAGGCAGAAGCAAGAAUGUUCUCAGCUAGGCUUGCUGCUGUGACAUGGAACACACUGAAGAGUCAUUAGACUUCUAGCUACCCACUUGAGAAGUUUCUUAAGAAUCCCUUCAAAAUCAGAAAUAUCAGAGCGUGUAUAACACCUCCUGAACUCAGCAUAUGAAACCCCCAAAUAGUAGCUGUAUUUCUGGGAAAGCUGUAUUAAUCUGAGAUGUACCUAUAUCUCCACAGUGAACUUGAUGCAGCUUUAGCAGUUCAUUGGUCAACCAGAAGCAGAAAUACUUCCCACAGUUCCAUUAAAUUUAAAAAAAAAAAAAAAUAAUAAAAAAAAAUUCAAUGGCUGUUACCAAAAAUUCAGAAGUAUGCAGCUGUUACCAGUGAAGUGACUAAAUGGGCUACAUGACACACCACUUCGGCUGGAACGAAACUGAUCAAAUUGCAGUGACAUGGAAGUCAAUUCUUCAUCUCUCUACCUCCUGAAGACCUCUUUGUAGAAAGAAGGGAUACAGCAUGUGGAGCUACUGAAUCAAGCCCAUGAAGAAAAGAUAGGUGACUGAGGGUUAGAAGAGGAGUUUGGAUGUCAAGUUCAAGCUUUCCUUCCUGACUUCUCCAUGGAUGCGCUUUGUCACGUGGCUCAACAUUCUUGGAGCUGAGAAGAUGGAGUUCUCUAAUUUUGCACACUGGUGCUCGCAAUUGCUGGAGAGUAAUUUCUUCUUGACUGUACUUCCCUGCACAGACUGACUUUGUCUUUUACCUUGUUGCCUUCUGAAGGGCAGUCAGACAUUGCAUUCAAGGCUGAGUGUCCCACCUGUUGUAGAGUUUGGAGGCAUAGUCCUUCUCUCAACCCAAAGGUACCACAGUUGAGUUUCAUCUAAGUCAUCUAGUUUUCUCCAUAGGCCAGUAGAGAAGAAUAGAAAUUUCUUGGCUGAAAAUACAAAUAAGUCAUUACUUAAGGUGUCUGAUUUUUCCUCCUUGUAUUAAACAAGCAAAACAAAUAAUUAAACAAACAAUGAAACAAAAGAAAAAAACUCCAUACACUCCAAUAAAAGAAAAAGAAAACAGCAGAGGUGAUGAGCUCAGAUAUCUGCAUCGGAGCAUUCCAGAGUUUAAUGGGAUUAAACUGUACCUCAGUUUCCCUAUGAAUAAACUAUAACAAUAGGACAUCAAUAACAGUAUAUCAAAUUAGAGUGUUGACACCCACUUCUUUAUGUGAAUGUGUUGUCUGCUUAGACAGAAUAACUCUUCAAAACAGAUGGCAAAAGGAAAAUGUUCUCUCUGUAUGUUAUGCUGCCUAUUUCCAGCAGGAUUUCGUUACUGAAGUAACCACAUUUCUUUGCACUGAGUUGCAAGGCAAAGAUCGGAUGGGACAGACCUGCCUGCACAUCUAGGAAUUGCUCCCAGUCACACAGAUGUAUUUCUGAAUAGAAAUGCAAUAGAAAAACAGUGUUGUUUCAAAAGACAUCAGCUUCUAGAAGGCCCCUGUUGGAUCUGUAAGCGAGUGGAUUGAGGAGCAUCAGAUAAUUCAUUUAUUCACAGAUUCUAAGAGUGAAAGGGUUGCAUUUUGAUCAUCAGGUCAGCUGUUUGGUGUAACGUCAGUUUCCCUUCGUCUACAUUUGUUCAGCUGUUCAACUAGAAUAUAUGUUUCAGAAGAAAACCAUACCAGACUGCAGAAUUCCUAGCUUCAUGUCUGAUCAGACAUUGUAAAGGAGUUUUUCUCAUUAAUUAAUGCUCUGUUGAAAUCAUUAUGCCUAUUUGCUAUGGAAAGAUUUAUCAAGAAAUUCACUGGAGCAGCUAACCUUGCUGUCAUGGAUUUGGUUACCCUUCCUUUUGCCUCAUUCCUGGUCCUCAAGGUUUCAGCAAAUUUCUCCCCAACUCUCAGCUUCCUGGUGAAUUUUCUAUCCCCUCUCAUUCGUGGGGUGUGACAGGAUAAUAGCAGCAAUCCAGUCCUUAUUGUCUGGAUCUGCGGAUGAACGGUGCUGUAUAAGUGUAAAGUGUUAUUAUUAUUGUAAGGAAAUAAUAAUACUAAUAAAACAAAAUGAAUCGA
ensembl:lncRNA